rnacentral:rRNA from 1 species
GACGAACGCUGGCGGCGUGCUUAACACAUGCAAGUCGAGCGGUAAGGCCCUUUCGGGGGUACGACGAGCGGCGAACGGGUGAGUAACACGUGGGUGACCUGCCCUCAGCCCUGGGAGUAAGCCGUCGGGAAACCGGGGUACUAAUACUGGAUAUGACUCCAUGACGCAUGUUGUGGGGUGGAAAGCCUUGUGCGGCUGAGGAUGGGCCCGCGGCCUAUCAGCUUGUUGGUGGGGUGAUGGCCUACCAA